rnacentral:rRNA from 1 species
UACGUAGGGUGCAAGCGUUAAUCGGAAUUACUGGGCGUAAAGCGUGCGCAGGCGGUUCGUUAAGUCAGAUGUGAAAGCCCCGGGCUCAACCUGGGAACUGCAUUUGAAACUGGCGGGCUUGAGUGUGGCAGAGGGGGGUGGAAUUCCGCGUGUAGCAGUGAAAUGCGUAGAGAUGCGGGGGAACACCGAUGGCGAAGGCAGCCCCCUGGGUUAACACUGACGCUCAGGCACGAAAGCGUGGGGAGCAAACAGG